CCCUUAGAUGUCCUGGGCCGCACGCGCGCUACACUGAUGCAUUCAACGAGCUUUACCUUGGCCGAGAGGCCUGGGCAAUCUUUUAAACCUGCAUCGUGAUAGGGAUAGAUUAUUGCAAUUAUUAAUCUUGAACGAGGAAUUCCUAGUAAACGCAAAUCAUCAAUUUGCAUUGAUUACGUCCCUGCCCUUUGUACACACCGCCCGUCGCACCUACCGAUUGAAUGGUCCGGUGAAGCCUCGGGAUUGUGGCCAGUUCACUUUAUUGGGAGUUGGCUGUGAGAACUUGUCUAAACCUUAUCAUUUAGAGGAAGGUGAAGCCGUAACA
rnacentral:rRNA from 1 species